rnacentral:rRNA from 1 species
UGCAAAUACUCGACGGUAAUUUGCCGCUUUACUACUAUCAUCUCUCGAUCUUUCUGAACUUGAUCAUCACCUUGGAUCGUACCUUACUACUUGGAUAAGUGUGGCAAUUCUAGAGCUAAUACAUGCAGCAGAGCUCCGAUCCUCUGGGGAGGAGCGCUUUUAUUAGACCAAAAGCAAUCGGAACUCGUGUCCGUAUUAUGUGGUGACUUUGUAUAACCUUGGGCUGAUCGCAUGGGCUCGUCCCGGCGACGUACCUUUCAAGUGUAUGCCUUGUCAAACGUCGAUGGUAAGUUACAUGUCUACCACCCGUUACGGGUGACGGGGAAUAAGGUUCGAUUCCGGAGAGGAAGUCUGAGAAAGGGCUACCAUUUCCAAGGAAGGCAGCA